GCAACCCAUAAAAAAAAAAAAAAAAAAAAGAAAAGAAAAUUCUCGAUCUUAUAAAGUAUUUUAUAAAAAAUAAGCAAUUUUAAUAAACCGCAAGGGCCAAUCCUCAAGCUAUCUAAAGAAGUGAUAAUCACAUGUCCCUUUUGCAUCAUGGAGAAGCAACAAAACCUUAGCAAUCCACACUCCCGAAUGAUUAUGAGCUACUAAGCUUUCAAAAUUAAUGUUUCAUAAUUAAUAUAGUAAUUUUUAGUAGAAGUAACAAGCCUUUCAUAUAAUCAUAUAGCUGGUUUUUCUCUAAAAGCAUCACAGUGCUAGCCCAUAGCCAAACAAUACUUCUUUACAUUAUGAGGCUUACUUUACUGAGGAUUAGCUCAGUAAAGCCUAUAGAAAUAUUUUAAGCAAUAUUACCAUAAGUAGGCCUAAAAGCAGCCACCCAAUAACGUUUUAGUUACUGGAACUAAAAUUUAAUAUUAAAGUCUAUUUAAUACUUCUAAACCUAAAGAAAUUUAACAAAAAACCUAUUUGUUAUUAAACAGGCAUUCUAUUAGUAUUAAUAUGUAAAAUGUUUAACACUAAUAAAAGUAUUAAACCAUAAACUUACUAUAUACCCACACAUAUAUAAAGUGAACUCGGCAAAUUAGUUCCCUGCCUGUUUACCAAAAACAUCGUCUUUUGAAUCCCCUAAAUAAAAGAUCAGC
rnacentral:rRNA from 1 species